GAUGAAGAACGCAGCGAAAUGCGAUAAGUAGUGUGAAUUGCAGAAUUCCGUGAAUCAUCAAAUCUUUGAACGCACAUUGCGCCUUCUGGUAUUCCGGAAGGCAUGCCUGUUCGAGAGUCAUUAACAACCGUUUCGAUCCCUUUCUUUCAGAAAUUACAAAGAGGAAAAGGGUUUGGUUAUGGUGGAGGAGGGAAAGGGAGCGUUUAGCCUGUAAAAAAAGAGGCUGUGUUCCGCCUCCCCCCCAAAAUUGUACAGGCGGUCGUGUGCGCCCACGCAUCGAGGUGUUGUAAAAGCUGCCACGGCACUUUUCACCUGUGCAGUGCGAGAUUGGCCAGCCGGUUUAAAAACCCCUCCAAUCAAUCAAAGGUUGACCUCGGAUCAGGUAGGGAUACCCGCUGAACUUAAGCAUAUCAAUAAGCGGAGGA
rnacentral:misc_RNA from 1 species